UUGAACGCUGGCGGAAUGCUUUACACAUGCAAGUCGAGCGGCAGCGCGGGGGCAACCCUGGCGGCGAGCGGCGAACGGGUGAGUAACACAUCGGAACGUACCCAGUUGUGGGGGAUAGCCCGGCGAAAGCCGGAUUAAUACCGCAUACGACCUGAGGGUGAAAGGGGGGGAUCGCAAGACCUCUCGCAGUUGGAGCGGCCGAUGGCGGAUUAGCUAGUUGGUGGGGUAAAGGCCCACCAAGGCGACGAUCUGUAGCGGGUCUGAGAGGAUGAUCCGCCACACUGGGACUGAGACACGGCCCAGACUCCUACGGGAGGCAGCAGUGGGGAAUUUUGGACAAUGGGCGCAAGCCUGAUCCAGCCAUGCCGCGUGCGGGACGAAGGCCUUCGGGUUGUAAACCGCUUUCAGCCGGAAAGAAAUCGUCAAGGCUAAUAUCCUUGAUGGAUGACGGUACCGGAAGAAGAAGCACCGGCUAACUACGU
rnacentral:rRNA from 1 species